GAUGAACGCUAGCGGCAGGCCUAAUACAUGCAAGUCGAACGGUGUCUUCGGACAUAGUGGCGCACGGGUGCGGAACACGUGUGCAACCUGCCUUUAUCUGGAGGAUAGCCUUUCGAAAGGAAGAUUAAUACUCCAUAAUAUAUUAAUUGGCAUCAAUUGAUAUUGAAAACUCCGGUGGAUAGAGAUGGGCACGCGCAAGAUUAGCUAGUUGGUGAGGUAACGGCUCACCAAGGCAAUGAUCUUUAGGGGGCCUGAGAGGGUGAUCCCCCACACUGGUACUGAGACACGGACCAGACUCCUACGGGAGGCAGCAGUGAGGAAUAUUGGUCAAUGGGUGCAAGCCUGAACCAGCCAUCCCGCGUGAAGGAUUAAGGUCCUAUGGAUUGUAAACUUCUUUUGUAUAGGGAUAAACCUACCCUCGUGAGGGUAGCUGAAGGUACUAUACGAAUAAGCACCGGCUAACUCCGUGCCAGCCGCCGCAGUAAGAC
rnacentral:rRNA from 1 species